GACUGGAAUGCACUUCAGGGGCAGUUGGAUGGAAUGUCCAACUGACAGCAGCAAAGUGAAGACCUCUCUACCUCCCUCUCCAUUAAUUCCUCCCUGGCAUGUUCAGGAUCUUGGCCUCACUCCAGGCUCAGGCUUUUUCUCUGUCUUCAGCUUUCUUUUUGUUUUCAAAUUAUUUUUUAUCUAGAUCAAUUUUCCAUAAUGUUUUCAACUUAUCUAGCAUGAAUUGAAAUCUGGUCCCCAACUAUAAAUCUAUGUGAUGACAAUCUUCAAUAUAUGUCCAGACUCUAUGUGAAUAUGGAGGAUGAUAGAGAAAGGGAAGGCAGUACUGCUAGUCUAUAGGGCUAAAUGUAGAAUGGGCUGAGGAGGGGAGCUCAUGACAAUUUUCAUCUGCUGCUGCUUUUUUGGCCAUCUUAACUUCAUCGGUGAAGCUUAUUCCAGAUUCAAAGGUCAACUGCUUCCAACUAAACCUUUGAAUUCAUCAUUCUUCUCAUAGACAUUUUGCACUGUAUUAAAGAGAUCCUCAACAUUUUCCGCUUCCCAAGUCAGCAUCACUUUCAGAGUUUUGUCUCCAGUGUGAGAACAGACAAAUACACCAGUCCCUGGACUGAUACCUGAAAAAAGAGGAGAUAAGCAAGAAGGCUCACCAGAUUCUCGUACUUUGGUAUUAAACUAGGCGUCCAGGAUAUUAAGAAUUCAAGGAGAUUGGAACCACCUGGACCAUCUGGAUAUCCCACAGAAGACCACACUGACCCAUUAUUACACUGAUGAUAUCAUGCUGAUUGGGCAAGAGAAGCAAGAGGAAGGAAGGCCCACAGAAGUUGCUGUGUGAACAUGUGUGGAGAUGUGAAUCCAUAUAGCUCAAAGGGUGGACUGUGACACCUAUGAGAGCUACAAAUGAAGACUUAGGAGUGUUCAUCAAAUAAGGAGUUGCAAGAAGAACACAGAAACCAGAUUUAUUGUAUACAUGAAAAAAUAAAAAGUACUACUCAA